AGUGAACGCUGGCGGUAGGCCUAACACAUGCCAGUCGAACGGCAGCACAGUAAGAGCUUGCUCUUACGGGUGGCGAGUGGCGGACGGGUGAGGAAUACAUCGGAAUCUACUUUUUCGUGGGGGAUAACGUAGGGAAACUUACGCUAAUACCGCAUACUACCUACGGGUGAAAGCAGAGGAUCUUCGGACCUUGCGCGAUUGAAUGAGCCGAUGUCGGAUUAGCUAGUUGGCGGGGUAAAGGCCCACCAAGGCGACGAUCCGUAGCUGGUCUGAGAGGAUGAUCAGCCACACUGGAACUGAGACACGGUCCAGACUCCUACGGGAGGCAGCAGUGGGGAAUAUUGGACAAUGGGCGCAAGCCUGAUCCAGCAAUACCGCGUGGGUGAAGAAGGCCUUCGGGUUGUAAAGCCCUUUUGUUGGGAAAGAAAAGCAGCAGGUUAAUACCCCGCUGUUCUGACGGUACCCAAAGAAUAAGCACCGGCUAACUUCGUG
rnacentral:rRNA from 1 species